rnacentral:rRNA from 1 species
AUUGAACGCUGGCGGCAUGCCUUACACAUGCAAGUCGAACGGUAACAGGUUAAGCUGACGAGUGGCGAACGGGUGAGUAAUAUAUCGGAACGUGCCCAGUCGUGGGGGAUAACUACUCGAAAGAGUGGCUAAUACCGCAUACGACCUGAGGGUGAAAGCGGGGGAUCGCAAGACCUCGCGCGAUUGGAGCGGCCGAUAUCAGAUUAGGUAGUUGGUGGGGUAAAGGCUCACCAAGCCAACGAUCUGUAGCUGGUCUGAGAGGACGACCAGCCACACUGGGACUGAGACACGGCCCAGACUCCUACGGGAGGCAGCAGUGGGGAAUUUUGGGACAAUGGACGCAAGUCUGAUCCAGCCAUGCCGCGUGCGGGAAGAAGGCCUGGUGUAACCGCUUUGUCAGGGAAGAAACGGACUCUGGGGCUAAUACCCUCGGGGUAAGUGACGGUACCUG